rnacentral:lncRNA from 1 species
CCAAAUUGAAUUAAAAUCUCCACAAACACAACAUAUCACCCACUCAUCACCUAUAACUUUCUUAUAUAAUUUGACAUAUUGUUGAUAGUUUGACAAAAUUCGAUCUUUCUAUAAAUAGUUAUUCUAGUAUUUUUUUUAGGCUUAUUAGAUCCGCUGGUCCCUCAAUUAAUUUCCAUUUUUCAUUUUGGUCCCACAAUUGAUAAAAAGUAUCUUUUGAUCCUUUAGAUUUUCCUCCAUUUGCCGAAUAAAUCCCGACGGUUAACUUUAACCCAAAUGAUGUAUAUGGUGGACCAAUCUUAAAAAUGGUCCACCAUAAUCUUUUUUAUUAAAAGAUGAUUGUUAGAUCAUGCAUGUCUAUUGUAUCUUCCGGUGAGUCAACAACACUUAACCCUUUUUCCCAUUUCUUCAUCUUCAUCCCUCUCAUCUUCAUCAUCUUCUUCGCACAACCUCAUCAAUCUUCAAACUCAACCUAGAAAAUCCAGUAAUUUUAAAAUUAAUAGUACAUAAUCUUUGCCCCCGUGAAUGAUCGUCCAUUUUCUUCAUCUCUAUUCCCUCAAUCAACCUCUUAUUUUUUAUUGUUGACUUUCGAAAUCAUUAACUAGAGAUGAAAUGAAAUAAGUGAAAUGAAAACUACAAUCUAAACAGUGAAUCGGAACCAAAUCCGAUUCAAAAUCUCCACCACCGGUGAUGAAUAGUAACGCAGAUUCAAGGUCCUGGAGAGAGAAACGCAGAAAUUCCACCAUGGCUUUGAAAUGAUUCGGAUGGGUUGGGUGAUAAGGAUUGGAUUUGAAACGCAAAAACGCAGAGAAAGGGGAAAAUCAAGGGUUUGUUGGAUUUGAAAUGAUUCAUAUGGGUUUGGAGAUAAAGAUAUGAUGUUGCUUUUAAUUGAAUGUUGUUAAUUCCAUCAUGGCAGAAGUGAAAAAGAAACAACAAGAAGCAAAAAUGGGUUUGACAGAAGUGAAAAAGAGAUGGGUUUGCAGGUAUGAAG